ACGCUGGCGGCGUGCCUAACACAUGCAAGUCAACUUGACGGAAGGAGCAAUCUGGCCGUAGAGUGGCGCAAGGGUGCGUAACGCGUAAGUAACUUGCCCCAAGGUAAGGAAUAACGUCGAGAAAUCGGCGCUAAUACCUCAUAAUGCAGCGGAUCCGCAUGGAUAUGUUGUUAAAGGUUUACCGCCUUGGGAUAGGCUUGCGUCUGAUUAGCUAGUUGGUGUGGUAACGGCACACCAAGGCUACGAUCAGUAACUGGUCUGAGAGGAUGAUCAGUCACACUGGAACUGAGACACGGUCCAGACUCCUACGGGAGGCAGCAGUGAGGAAUAUUGGGCAAUGCUCGAAAGAGUGACCCAGCAACGCCGCGUGGAGGAUGAAGGUAUUCUAUAUCGUAAACUCCUGUGAGAGCAGACGAAAGACAGAUUAUUAAUCUGGAUGACUGUAUGCUCAGAGGAAGCCCCGGCUAACUACGUG
rnacentral:rRNA from 1 species